rnacentral:rRNA from 1 species
AUUGAACGCUGGCGGAAUGCUUUACACAUGCAAGUCGAACGGUAGAGGGGGCAACCCCUCGAGAGUGGCGAACGGGUGAGUAAUAUAUCGGAACGUGCCCAGUCGUGGGGGAUAACGUAGCGAAAGUUACGCUAGUACCGCAUACGAUCUAAGGAUGAAAGCGGGGGAUCGCAAGACCUCGCGCGAUUGAAGCGGCCGAUAUCAGAUUAGGUAGUUGGUGGGGUAAAGGCUCACCAAGCCAACGAUCUGUAGCUGGUCUGAGAGGACGACCAGCCACACUGGAACUGAGACACGGUCCAGACUCCUACGGGAGGCAGCAGUGGGGAAUUUUGGACAAUGGACGCAAGUCUGAUCCAGCCAUUCCGCGUGCAGGAUGAAGGCCCUCGGGUUGUAAACUGCUUUUGUACGGAACGAGAAGGUUUCUACUAAUACUAGGAGCUCAUGACGGUACUGUAAGAAUAAGCACCGGCUAACUACGUGCCAGCCGCCGCCGUAA